ACACACACACACACAUACGCAAACACACACACAAACAUACACACACACACACACAUACGCAAACACACACACACACACACACACACACACACACACACACACACAGUCACACACAUGCCAAUCAUGCCAGGCAUAUAUUGAGCCAGGAUCUCCACAGCAGCUAUCUGUUCAAUCCUAUUAGUCUCAUUGUGGUGUUAGACAGCAUGACGUCUGCUGCUGAUGCUCAACAAAGACAGGCUCAGUGACACACAGGGAGGAUGCAGAGAUGUAGAGAAGGCAGCAGUGAAGCCAAUGUGCUAGAUUCACACACACACACACACACACACACACACACACACACACACACACACACACACACACACACACACACACAACACGCGCACACACACACACACACACACACACACACACACAACACGCGCACACACACACAAAGACAUAAAAACCCACACACAAACAAAUAGUAAUACCCACACAAAAUGAAUGAGUCUGAAUAGUGAUGUUCACAAUCAAGGAUCACAGGGCUCCUGACACCCAUCUCCUUACACCUAUCUGUUCUUUGGCAGGUGUGCCAGGUGGUGAGUCCUCUUGUGUGUUGCAGCCAAUUUCCUCCCCCUCGGUGUGUUCUCAGAAUGACGAGUCCUCUUGUGUGUUGCAGCCAAUCCCUCCCCCCACCCCCCCGGUGUGUUCUCAGAAUGACGUUAGUGUGGAAGGCCUCCCCGGUCUCUUCUUUCGACCGCUCUAAAUGUGGACACAAAUCCACAGAUCAAUUUGCCGCCCUCUGUGUGUGUGUGACCCAAAUUCACGUAACACAACCCAAACGCCCCCUUCAAGGUGAGUCGAUUCUCCAUUUUGGCUCUGUCGCUGUUCACGCUGGGGCAUCGGUUUCAAGGUCAGUGCUGACUAUCCAUGCAGAAAAGUGGGUUUGAAGACCAUGGAGAGGGAGAGAGAGAGUAGGGUGGGUUGGGCAGGGUAGGGGGAGACUGUAUAUUGUGCAGACCAGGUUGGCUCCAUCCUGGUUCCAAUGUAUGACUGUGGGGAUAAACGUUUCAACGUUUGUGUGCACAGAGGGAACAGAUUACAAGCUGCCUAUUUCUGUACCACAAAGCUCUUUACUAGACUUAGGCUACCUGCACUACUGCAGGUUGUGUGCGUGAGAGGAAAAGUGUGUGUGUGUGUGAGUGUGUGUGAGUGUGUGUGUAUGAGUGGGUGUGUGUCUCCUUGCAGCACGGGCAUCUUUAGUGCUCUGAUUCCUUCAGCAAGCUGAGCAACAUCAGGUGUCGAUCGGCCAUUUUAUUCACCGCGCGGGAUUCUAUCAGGAGAGACUCUCCCACUCGCCCCAUCACAAACGGAGAAAAAGAACUACAUCCAGGAGGCCAAGAUGCUUGUGACCAUGCUAACAGCCAUGUAUAUGAUGGUGCAGGUGGUGGAACAGGUGGGUCUUAGGUGGGGGAGGCAGCCGGCCCCCCUGCCCUAUAUGCUGGCUCAGCCAAUCCCCUGGCAGAUACACUCAGUGUCUUCCAGCCGAAGAGGGAGUCGCGCGGAGGAGAGGAGAAACAGCGCUGGCAUGUACAGGAAGAACUCCAACUGCACUAAUGGGCUGUGUGCCCCGGCCAGCCCUGAGGCCGUCAAGGCCGCCUUUACCAUCCAGAAGGAGUACAGGAAGUACCAGCAGAAGAAGAAGGACACCGUCUAAAGAAGGAAGGACCAGCCAAAGAAGAAGGGCACCAUCUAGAGGAGGGGAGGAGCACCUCCCCCUCAGCUCUUUAUAGCUCUUCAACUCUCUCGCUUUCUCUUUUUUUCGAUUUUUUGCACUCUCAGUCAUUACUCUCUCUCCCUCUCUCUCACACACACACACACACACACACACAGACAUGAUCACUCAUUCUCUCUGAAACAUUGUAAAUACUAUGGAAAAGUACACCAUCACACACUCUCUCACACAGUCAUGGGCGGAUCUACACACACACACCGAUCACAAACACACACACACACACACACACACACACACACACACACACACAAAAACAUACAUACGCACACACUCUCACACAUACACACACACACACACACACACACACACACACACACACAAACAUACAUACGCACACACUCUCACACACACACACACACACACACACACACACACACACACAAAAACAUACAUACGCACACACUCUCACACAUACACACACACUCUCACACAUACACACACACACACACACACACACACACACACACACACACACCUUGCCUCCACACUAUGCACUGGCACAUACCUGUGGAAGUGUAGAUCUGUCUAAAAUAUGUGUAACAUACCACACCACUCGCAAUAAGGUCACUUAGCUGUCAAUGAGUAUUUUAAAAUAUCACAAAUGUUUGUGUCAUAUCAUUAUAUUUAUAUUAAUAACAGGGUUUUAUUAUUUUUUGUUUUGUUUUAUUGCUUUGUUUUUCUUUGUUCAAAUCAGCAUGAUUGAGUGUGGAUGAAAGUGAAUAGGAAUGUUGUGAAAGAAUAGAAAUCAGAGCCAGAACAAAAUGUUCUAGACGGAAUGUUCUAGACGGAAAUGUUCUAGACAGAAUGUUCUGGAGAGAAUGUUCUAGACAGAAUGCCUGAACCAGAAUCACCGGCAUUAUCCGAAUCAGCAAACCUACUCAGGCAAGCCCCUACUGUUCUAUUCCAAUAAUGAGAAUCAAGACCCCAAAACGCCUAACUGAUCCCACAUCCAUUUAGGCUUCUCCAGAAGUGAUAUAGCAUGCCUGCCCCCAUGUGGUCAGUUAGGGUAAUGACAACUCCAAAAUCCUGAUAGCUGGUAGUGUGCUCCAUAUUCCAACAGCAAAGGAGUGAAUCAGUUGAUGGUCAAUGGGAUGGUAAUAUGUGAUGGGUCACGAUAUUAAAGUGAGGGUGUAAUACAACACAUCAAACAAUUAAAGAUUUUCUUUUCUUUACUUAUGUUUUAUAUUUUUGUGUUCCUUCACAUGUGUAGUGUGUGUGUGUGUGUGGGCAUUGUUACAGGACUAAGCUUCUGACAAAAGGAUACACAACAGAUGAAAGAAAAGGACACAAGUUCAUAGAAAGAUAGCUUUAUUGCACAAGUUGUUGGAGUACUCUUUUUUCUGUUUUUGUGUUGUUUUCAUAGAAAAAAACUGUAUAGUUUAACACAAGCAAUUGCAAAUUGAAGCAACUUUUCCAUAAAAGUUUAGGAAUCCCCCUCAGCAUGUUUCAACUUUUUUUUCCACGUUUAGUCCUUUGAAUCUCUUGUCUCCAUUUUACUUUUAAUAACCAGCAAAAUAUUCAGAGCAUGCAAUGCCAUUUUUCUUCAAUAUAAACCGAAAAGUAAAAAUGAAACCAAAAUAUAAACAAAUCAAACAAUCAACAGAAAUUAAUAAAAGUCAACAAAAUUCAUUUUAAAAAUUAGGGGAAAAAAGUCAGACUUUUUCUAUUCUGGGUUUUUUUGUGCCCCAUUCGAAAAUCAGUGUAAGGUAUAUAUAUAUUUUUUUGUCUUUUUUUAUUUGAAUCGCCUCACAUUUAAAGUUAUAACUUUCAUGAAACUUUAAAUUGUGCCCUGGUUUCAUCUGCAGAGUUUGAAAAUAGUAGUUAUUUAUACAAAACACUUUCUUAUAUACAAGAGUAUUUCUUUGUAGAUUAGAAAUUAUGCUGACACGGAGACUCUACGGGUAAAGAGGAAGGGGGGGUGGGGGGGUUUGAUUGGUUAAGGGACAAAAGGGGGCGGGGGUGGAGAAACAGGGAGGUUGGGCAUAGAGUUUGAUUUCCUGACUCCGUCCAAUAAGCUUGUGGCUUCUCCUGUGAUUGGCUGGAGCUAGGGAGUCCCUGAUUUUGGAUUGGCUAAACAGGCCUGCCCCCAUUUGCUUCACGACACAUCUCUGUUUUUCUUCCUCCAGAACGAAACAUUAUUAAAUCAUCCGAAGGAACGUUUCAAAUAAAAAAAGCAAUGGGGAGAGGAUAUCUAUCACCGACAAACAAACAGCCAAAACAAAAUGAACAAAUUCAAAUGUGUUUGCUCAAGCCACAGGCAACUCACUGAAGUAGAGACAAGGCCCUGACCGCAGGGAAUUCUGGGAUCUGGCCUGCAGCCAGCCGCCCUCUGGGCUAAAGUGUGUGGGGUGGGCAUCAUAUGCCCUAUCGGUUAUCGUUACCAACAAUCCAACCUGAACAGGUAAACACAUAAACACACACGCACCUACACAUGCAUACUGUAUUUCCACAUUUAGGUUCCAGUCACUGUAAGUUUGUGACGUGACAGCGUUUAUGUGUAUGUGGUAAUGGCUGUCAUAGACA
ensembl:lncRNA